rnacentral:rRNA from 1 species
GACGAACGCUGGCGGCGCGCCUAACACAUGCAAGUCGAGCGAGAACCGGGACUUCGGUCCCGGGGACAGCGGCGAACGGGUGAGUAACACGUGGAUAACCUGCCCUCGGCACCGGAAUAGCCCGGGGAAACUCGGAUUAAUGCCGGAUAGCCCCACAUCCCUGCGGGGAACGUGGGAAAAGGUAGCUUCGGCCUCUGGCCGAGGA